GGAGGCAGGAGGAGAGACCCGCGGCCGCCGGCGGUCCGAGUGGAGGGGAAUCUGAACUUCAGGUAAGAAGUGUUGAACUGCAGUCUAUCUGGUUCAGAUAUGAAUUAAGCGUGGGUGUAGUUUAUUUUCAUUGCGCUCGCUAACUCUUAACACCGCCAGUAGUUAUAAUUAGGCCGUUAAGCAAUGUAGCUAGCUGUGCAUGCAAACUAACAUGAUGGGGUUUCUCUAAUGCUGGACGGUUUCUAUGAUGCUAUUCUAGUUGUAAUUAUGUUAGUGCUUAAGUAACUUUAUUUUAUUAAUUUAGUUAAGUAUUAUCUGUAUUUGUUAGGUAGUUAAAAACUUUAUAAGGUCGAGCGGACGCGCCGGCGCGUCCGAGCACAUAACUUUUUUUUUGAAAGACAACACAGGCAAGAUCUAGCCUGGUAGUUUCCAUUCCAACUUCUGUCAAAAGUGCGAAAUCUCAACUAUAUGACAGUUUAUGAGUGGUCUCAAUUGGCAAAGUUAAACCAUAUUUAUGAUAAGUCGAUCACUCCAUUUGGAAGGCUGCCGUGGUCACAUUUUGAUAUUCAUCUCAUCUCUGUUCCUCUCUGUCCUUUUUUCUGGAUCCCAUCAUGUUCUAUGUUUGUUCAGGAGGUUCACUUGACCAUGCAGACUUUUGGAUUCCUCUAAGUUCCCAUGUUUGAGGAAGCAUUUGGUGUUGCUGUGCAAAGUGUUGCUGCAGUGGAGGUUCAAGGUUACUGUUUAUUGAUAUGGAUCCCAUCAUACUUUGUUCAUUGUUUGUUCAGGAGUUUGCCCUAAGUCUCCGUGUUUGAGGGCCUAUUCUGUGGAUAUAUUUAUUUGCACUUUUAUUGAUGCAGUAAAUAAAUAGUCUAUGAAAAAAUCACUAAAUCUGUCAUUUAUUCAUUUUAAUAUAUUCAUCAAUGAUCAUGUCUCACCUCUAUUCCGUAUUAAUCCCUGUCCUAAUUUCAGGAUCCCAUCAUACGUUGUACAUUGUUCAGGAGGUUAACUAGACCAUGCAGCCUUUUGAUAUCCGCUAAGUACUGUAUAGAAUAUUGGAACUGGAAGGAUGGUGUAUGUUUAAGUUUAUGUUUAAGUAUAUAUACACCAACAAGACAGCGUGAAAGCAUUGUCACAAGAAAGUUUGUUUUCAUUCAUAGGCUUAAUUGUCUUUCCAUCAAUACCUGGUGGGCCGGUCUCGGCUCAAAAUGCCCGGGCCGAUUUUUUGUCCCAGUCCAGCCCUGCUUUCGACCAAAAAUAAACUAGUCCGGCCC